GUAUCAAACCAGACCUAGAAGCUUCUAAUCAACAAUAGAGGAGAGAGAAAGUGCCAAAAACCUUUAGCAAAUCUUCUCCCCGAUCCCCCAUCGCGCGACGCCUCUUCCACUUCCCGGAUCAACUUUCCGGCCACCGCUCGAUGAGAGCAAGUGGCGGUUAGGUCCCUUCGUGCCUUCGGUCACAUUUACGGCCUUCCUCCACGCCGAACGGACCUGCAGACUGCAGUGGCUCGAAUCAAGCUGUCUCCUUCGACAGCUUCUUCUUCUUUAACUUCCGGCGACCUCAGUGCUUUCCGGCGAUCCCUAUUAGGAAGAUAUUCUUGCGGGUCCUGAGGAACCAAAUUUCAAAUAGAAGUAUCGGGAAAAGAACAUAGCUUCUAACUAAACUAUAAAACGGUGAGUAGUGUUAGAUAAUUCACAUCAUCUACCUACUUUUGCAUUCAUGCAUGCACAGUUGAAUGCUAUUCAUGCAUUACUUGAUAAAUUCCUAUUUGUGCUGCAAUUUGUUGCUAUUAAAUGUUAUUUGAUUAGUUGUGGCGUGCUAUACUUUGUUUAUGUGGAAUUGGAACGAAGUAGGUCACCGUUGGGUUUGUGAGGGCAGUCUAUAAUACUGUCGGUCAUGUAUGGGGAAAUCGGCGCUCCCGUGUGCAUUUGAUGAUAUGGAUGAUAUGGAAAACUAUAGGGUGACCUCCUGUUGGUAUGGAAAAGAAAAGAGAGUAUAAAUGAGAAGGUUGAUCAAGUGAGGUUGAGAUCGGUUGGCCAUGUAAAAGGGAUCGACUCCCUAGUGCACACGUGACAAGAGGGCAAGCCAUGUGUGAGGAUGGCUCAUCAAGAGUUUUGGUGACGUCACUGACCAAUUUCCCCGUGAUGUGAUUAUGUGAAGGUGUUAAAGAGACUAUGAUCCAACUACUUGAUAUAGCGAUCUAUUAGAUUGUGUUCUUAGGCACCGCGAUGCAAUCAUAUCACACUCAACUGGGUAUGUAUUUUUUUAGGUUUUCAUAGUUUUAUAUUUGUGAUUGAUGUUGUUAUGUCAUUUGUGUGAUUGAGUGCAUGAUCAUAUAACUAGUUGGAUGACUAGAUUGACUUAUAUAUGCAUUUGUGUGAUUGUGGUUGAGAGGUUUAUCUAACCUUACUCAUUGAGUUUAGGCAAUCAACUCUACCUUAAAAUUUUAUUUCAGGUUAAAGCAAGUUGAGGAAUCCUUUUGAAUUCAACUUGGUUAAGCAUUGAAAUAGUGAAAUCUGUUGGUUAUCUGCAAGGUCUUUGGAAAAGUAUUGUAAAUGUAUAAAUUAAUGAAUCUAAUUACUUAGAGUUCCGCAAUUGUAGAUUUAUGUGGGUUAUAAUUAAUAAGUGACUAGAUUAUUAUAUAUAUAUAUAUUGUUUAUUUAUGAAUAAUUCAUACAAAUAUUGGAUAGAGCCUAGAACUCUUGUGAGUUGUCAUUUGAUGAAAGGGGCCUAAGGGUUAGGGAUGUUAAGAUUAGUGAAUCCAAUCUGCUGAUGCUGAUUACGAGCUUUGGAGGCUUUAAGCUCACUCAGGUUUUAGGGUCGGUCCGGUCCAUGGUGAUGGGUCGUGACACUAACAUAUUAGCCGCUCUCUCUUUCUCUCAAAUUUAAAAUCUAAAAACUCCUUUUCUUCUUUCACGGGGCCACUGGUGAGCUGUUACCAGUGGUCACCCCUUUUUAUUUUUUUUUAUAUUUUUUUGUAAAUAAUUCUCAGAUCUGUAUACUGUAUACAGAUCUGAGUUAUUAUCGCUCAAUUAUUGGAUUUGUUGUCGUCUAUAUAUUGAGAUUUUGUUCUCAAAUUGUUGUCACAA